rnacentral:rRNA from 1 species
UACGGCCUACGGGGGGCAGCAGUAGGGAAUCUUCCACAAUGGGCGAAAGCCUGAUGGAGCAACGCCGCGUGAGUGAAGAAGGGUUUCGGCUCGUAAAGCUCUGUUGGUAGUGAAGAAAGAUAGAGGUAGUAACUGGCCUUUAUUUGACGGUAAUUACUUAGAAAGUCACGGCUAACUACGUGCCAGCAGCCGCGGUAAUACGUAGGAGGCAAGCGUUGUCCGGAUUUAUUGGGCGUAAA